UACAGAGGCCUCGAGCGUUAGGCGGAAUCACUGGGCUUAAAGCGUGUGUAGGCGGACUUCUAAGUACCUUGUGAAAUCCCACGGCUUACCCGUGGAACGGCUGGGUAUACUGGUUGUCUUGAGCCACUUAGGGGCUACCGGAACAAAUGGUGGAGCGGUGAAAUGCGUAGAUAUCAUUUGGAACGCCAAUGGUGAAAACAGGUAGCUGGGAGUGUGCUGACGCUGAGACACGAAAGCCAGGGGAGCGAUCCGG
rnacentral:rRNA from 1 species